rnacentral:misc_RNA from 1 species
UACGGAGGGUGCAAGCGUUGUCCGGAAUCAUUGGGUGUAGAGGGUGCGUAGGCGGAAGCCUAAGUCGGGGGUGAAAUCUUGCCGCUUAACGGUAAAAUUGCCUUCGAUACUGGGUUUCUUGAGUUCGGAAGAGGUUGGUGGAAUUCGUGGUGAAGCGGUGAAAUGCAUAGAGAUUACGAAGAACACCAGUGGCGAAGGCGGCCAACUAGUCCGACACUGACGCUGAGGCACGAGAGCGUGGGGAGCGAACAGG